rnacentral:rRNA from 1 species
GGGUUGUGAGGUUAAGCGACUAAGCGUACACGGUGGAUGCCUAGGCAGUCAGAGGCGAUGAAGGACGUGCUAAUCUGCGAUAAGCGUCGGUAAGGUGAUAUGAACCGUUACAGCCGACG